GACGAACGCUGGCGGCAGGCCUAACACAUGCAAGUCGAGCGAGCGGCGGACGGGUGAGUAAUGUAUGGGGACUGCCCGAUAGAGGGGGAUAACUACUGGAAACGGUGGCUCAUACCGCAUCCUGUCGGAUUACCCAGAUGGGAUUAGCUAGUAGGUAAGGUAAUGGCUUACCUAGGCGACGAUCCCUAGCUGGUCUGAGAGGAUGAUCAGCCACACUGGGACUGAGACACGGCCCAGACUCCUACGGAGGCAGCAGUGGGGAAUAUUGCACAAUGGGCGCAAGCCUGAUGCAGCCAUGCCGCGUGUAUGAAGAAGGCCCUAGGAUUGUAAAGUACUUUCAGUCGGGAGGCGUUACCGACAGAAGAAGCACCGGCUAACUCCGUGCCAGCAGCCGCGGUAAUUC
rnacentral:rRNA from 1 species